AAUCAACGCUGGCGGCGUGCCUAACACAUGCAAGUCGAGCGAGAAAAGGGGAGCAAUCCCCUGAGUACAGCGGCGCACGGGUGAGUAACACGUGGGGUAAUCUGCCCUGGAGUGGGGGAAUAACACCGGGAAACCGGUGCUAAUACCGCAUACGAUCACAGAGUCUGCGGAUUUUUGUGAUGAAAGGAGCAAUUCGCUCUAGGAGGAGCCCGCGGCUGAUUAGCUAGUUGGUGAGGUAAUGGCUCACCAAGGCAACGAUCAGUAUCCGGUCUGAGAGGACGGUCGGACACACUGGAACUGAGACACGGUCCAGACUCCUACGGGAGGCAGCAGUGGGGUAAUUUUUGGCAAGUGGGGGCAACCCUGACCAAGCAACGCCGCGUGGGUGAUGAAGUCUCUUGGGACGUAAAACCCUUUCGACGGGGACGAAACCGCAAGGUUGACGGUACCCGUAGAAGAAGCCCCGGCUAACUCCGUG
rnacentral:rRNA from 1 species